rnacentral:rRNA from 1 species
CCUACGGGAGGCAGCAGUCAGGAAUAUUGCGCAAUGGAGGAAACUCUGACGCAGCGACGCCGCGUGGGUGAUGAAGGCCUUCGGGUCGUAAAGCCUGUCGAAGGGGAAGAAAAGUUGCCUGGCUAAUAUCCAGGCGACUC